AUCCAGGAGUGAGGGAUGCUGGAGUUCUUGCUCUGUGAGAAGGGCUUGACAGAAGCUGGGUGGAGGGAGAAUCUAACAUGGCCUCAAAACUCAAGCCCAGGCUAAGUGGAAGUUGCAUAGCUUGUAUUCGUGUCUGUUUUCUGAGAGUUGCUGAGGUACUCCAGGAGGAAGCGCUGAGAGCUGCUGCUCUGGAAGAAGAGAGAGGCUGAAAAGGAGGCAUUGAAGAAGUGGUGUUUGCCAUUGUUUUGUGGGACAUUGACACCCUGGAAGGGAUGGAACUAAAGGGUGACCUGGCUGGCAGGCCAAGUCACCACCACUGAGGUCCCGGGGAAAGAGAGGCAGAGGCUCGAAGUGCUAUCCUUUUUUGUAUGGCAAGAGAAGUCCAGAUCAAUGGAGCAUUUGCUGCAGGUGUGACGGGGGCGGGAGGGGGGGUGGCUGAGCCCAAAACAAUCCCUUCACCCCUUUUUGCCCAGUGUGAGGUUUGUACACCCCGUCACAAGGUGUGAUUGCCGUAUGGGCUGAUUGAAAUGUGCCAGCUUUAAUCUAGCUACCACAGGUUUUAGAGAACACUUCUUUUACGUGGAAAUGCUAGGCCAAUUGACAGUGACUGUGUAACACCUCUGUCAGAGACGUCUAAGUCAGGAAUAGUGGAGUGAAAUUGAGAAAGGGAAAAGUAAGGCCAAAGAUGAAGAAAAACGUCCUGACUGUGAGAUGCAUUCGGCAGUGGAAUAGUCUCCCAGGGAGAAAUGAUGGAGGCCUCAUGGCUUGGAACUUUUCAAAUCAGAUUGGACACAGGACUCACAAAUAUACUAUAGGCAAUGGGCUAGAAUGACGCAAAGAGGCCUUUUCCAUCUGUGAUUCUAUGGUAAUGUAAUAAAUCCGUGGCCACCUAGAGCUUCAAGGUUAUUGCUGAGCUGCACAAUGUGGCAGUUUUGAAAUUUCGGGCAACAGUGGGAAUAGAACCUACACCUCUGUUCUGACAGCACAGGCCCCGCCCCUUAAAGGAGAAUUACUGUUAGCAUUAUAGGGCUUAUGACAAACAUCGAU